GCAAGCAUGGCGGAAUUGGCAGACGCGCUAGGUUCAGGUCCUAGUGGGGUGACCCAUGCAGGUUCAAGUCCUGUUGCUUGCACCA
rnacentral:tRNA from 1 species